rnacentral:rRNA from 1 species
AUUGAACGCUGGCGGCAUGCCUUACACAUGCAAGUCGAACGGUAACAGGUCUUCGGAUGCUGACGAGUGGCGAACGGGUGAGUAUUACAUCGGAACGUGCCUAGUAGUGGGGGAUAACUACUCGAAAGAGUGGCUAAUACCGCAUGAGAUCUACGGAUGAAAGCAGGGGGUCGCAAGAGCUAGUGCUACCAGAGCGGCCGAUGGCAGAUUAGGUAGUUGGUGGGAGAAAAGCUUACCAAGCCGACGAUCUGUAGCUGGUCUGAGAGGACGAUCAGCCACACUGGGACUGAGACACGGCCCAGACUCCUACGGGAGGCAGCAGUGGGGAAUUUUGGACAAUGGGCGCAAGCCUGAUCCAGCAAUGCCGCGUGCAGGAUGAAGGCCUUCGGGUUGUAAACUGCUUUUGUACGGAACGAAAAGCCCUGGGUUAAUACCCUGGGGUCAUGACGGUACCGUAAGAAUAAGCACCGGCUAACUACGUGCCAGCCGCCGCGGUAAUAC